UUUCGGAUUUUCAGUCACAGUUUCCUUUGUUCUGGCGUCUGUGUGGGAUAAUCCGAAAGA
rnacentral:pre_miRNA from 1 species